GGGUUCACAGAGUCCAACCGGAUGAAUACUACCGAGAUAGAAGAUAUGUAACUGAAUAUGAGAGAGAUUAUGACCCUAGAGAUGUAGACUACGAUGAUAGACGAAGAGGAAGAGAUGAUUACUACAAACGAGAAUGGUAUGAAGAUGUACGAGAAGGCUCCCCAUAUUCAGCCAGUCAGGUCAAGCUGCUGAAACAGAGUGAUCUACCCCGGGUGGUUUAAAAUAAUUUUCAUAUUGAACCCAAUGUCCACACAGCAAUUGAAA